rnacentral:rRNA from 1 species
AUUGAACGCCGGCGGCAGGCUUAACACAUGCAAGUCGAGCGGUAGCACAGGGGAGCUUGCUCCCUGGGUGACGAGCGGCGGACGGGUGAGUAAUGUCUGGGAAACUGCCUGAUGGAGGGGGAUAACUACUGGAAACGGUAGCUAAUACCGCAUAACGUCGCAAGACCAAAGAGGGGGACCUUCGGGCCUCUUGCCAUCAGAUGUGCCCAGAUGGGAUUACCUAGUACGUGGGGUAAUGGCUCACCUAGGCGACGAUCCCUAGCUGGUCUGAGAGGAUGACCAGCCACACUGGAACUGAGACACGGGCCAGACUCCUGCGGGAGGCAGCAGUGGGGAAUAUUGCACAAUGGGGGCAAGCCUGAUGCAGCCAUGCCGGGUGUGUGAAGAAGGCCUUCGGGUUGUAAAGCACUUUCAGCGAGGAGGGAGGUGGUGAGCUUAAUACGUUCAUCAAUUGACGUUACUCGCAGGGGAAGCACCGGCUAGCUCCGUG